rnacentral:rRNA from 1 species
GUGGUUAAGUUAAUAAGGGCACACGGUGGAUGCCUUGGCGUUAGGAGCCGAAGAAGGACGCAGCGAACUGCGAUAAGCCUCGGGGAGUGGUAAGCACACUUUGAUCCGGGGAUUUCCGAAUGGGGGAACCCACCAUCUGUAAUGGGAUGGUAUCCUUCACUGAAUACAUAGGUGAUGAGAAGGCAGACCCGGUGAACUGAAACAUCUAAGUAGCCGGAGGAAGAGAAAACAAUAGUGAUUCCGUCAGUAGNNNNNNNNNNNNNNNNNNNNAUCCUACGGGGUUGUGGGGCGUUUCAUAUAGGAGUUACAAAAGACAGAUGUAGGUGAACAGUUUGGGAAGACUGACCAAAGAGCGUGAUAGUCGCGUAACCCAAACAUCUGUCUCUCCGAGACCAACCCCGAGUAGCGCGGGACACGUGAAAUCCCGUGUGAAUCUGGCAGGACCAUCUGCUAAGGCUAAAUACUACCUAACGACCGAUAGUGAACCAGUACCGUGAGGGAAAGGUGAAAAGCACCCCGGGAGGGGAGUGAAAUAGUACCUGAAACCGUGUGCUUACAAAUAGUCGGAGCACUUUCUAUGUGUGACGGCGUGCCUUUUGUAGAAUGAACCGGCGAGUUACGAUAGCGUGCGAGGUUAAGUCGAAGAGACGGAGCCGCAGCGAAAGCGAGUCUGAAUAGGGCGAAAGUACGUUGUCGUAGACCCGAAACCGUGUGAUCUAGCCAUGUCCAGGGUGAAGGUAGGGUAACACCUACUGGAGGCCCGAACCCACGCACGUUGAAAAGUGCGGGGAUGAGGUGUGGCUAGCGGUGAAAUUCCAAUCGAACUCGGAGAUAGCUGGUUCUCCCCGAAAUAGCUUUAGGGCUAGCCUCGGAUUUAGAGUCUUGGAGGUAGAGCACUGAUUGGACUAGGGGCCCUCAUCGGGUUACCGAAUUCAGUCAAACUCCGAAUGCCAAGUACUUAUAUCCGGGAGUCAGACGGUGAGUGCUAAGAUCCAUCGUCAAAAGGGAAACAGCCCAGACCAUCAGCUAAGGCCCCCAAGUGUAUGUUAAGUGGGAAACGAUGUGGAGUUGCCCAGACAACCAGGAUGUUGGCUUAGAAGCAGCCACCAUUUAAAGAGUGCGUAAUAGCUCACUGGUCGAGUGACUCUGCGCGGAAAAUGUAACGGGGCUAAACAUACCGCCGAAGCUAUGGCAGUCCUUAUGGACUGGGUAGGGGAGCGUUCCAAGCAGCAGUGAAGCCGUAUCGUGAGGAGCGGUGGAGCGCUUGGAAGUGAGAAUGCCGGUGUAAGUAGCGAAAAGACAAGUGAGAAUCUUGUCCACCGAAAGCCUAAGGUUUCCUGGGGAAGGCUCGUCCUCCCAGGGUUAGUCGGGACCUAAGCUGAGGCCGAAAGGCGUAGGCGAUGGACAACUGGUUGAUAUUCCAGUACCACCUCUGUUCCG